rnacentral:rRNA from 1 species
UGGGGAAUUUUGGACAAUGGGGGAAACCCUGAUCCAGCCAUCCCGCGUGUGCGAUGAAGGCCUUCGGGUUGUAAAGCACUUUUGGCAGGAAAGAAACGUCGCGGGUUAAUACCCCGCGGAACUGACGGUACCUGCAGAAUAAGCACCGGCUAACUACGUGCCAGCAGCCGCGGUAAUACGUAGGGUGCAAGCGUUAAUCGGAAUUACUGGGCGUAAAGCGUGCGCAGGCGGUUCGGAAAGAAAGAUGUGAAAUCCCAGAGCUUAACUUUGGAACUGCAUUUUUAACUACCGGGCUAGAGUGUGUCAGAGGGAGGUGGAAUUCCGCGUGUAGCAGUGAAAUGCGUAGAUAUGCGGAGGAACACCGAUGGCGAAGGCAGCCUCCCGGGAUAACACUGACGCUCAUGCACGAAAGCGUGGGGAGCAAACAGGAUUAGAUACCCUGGUAGUCCACGCCCUAAACGAUGUCAACUAGCUGUUGGGGUCUUCGGACCUUGGUAGCGCAGCUAACGCGUGAAGUUGACCGCCUGGGGAGUACGGUCGCAAGAUUAAAACUCAAAGGAAUUGACGGGGUCAUAGCUGUUU